GGAUCGCUGCACGGCCCGUCAGGCACUCAAUGUCCCUGGGGCGAUACUUAACCUCUAGGGAGCUGUCCCUGGCGGGACCCUGGUCCCGACACACGGCGCCCACCUGCUAAGCAGGCCACGGAGGACUUGCAACGCCAACGGCCGAGGCGGCACCGCU
rnacentral:other from 1 species